rnacentral:lncRNA from 1 species
ACGGUUUACACUACUUGUGCUGUACAUAUGUACCUUCGGAAAAGAAAAAGAACACAUACUGGCUAUUGAACAUAAGCAAGCUCAGGCCAGCCAGCCUCCGAGAAAGAGGCUAAACUGCUACUCUUAUUCUAAAUUCUUCACUCAAAUUUAUUAUAUACUAAAAGCAAUAUGAGGGGUACCGAGAGGAACCACCACGUUGAUCCACAUCAGCUGAAUUAUUAUGGUCGUUAGAUCUGAGAUAUACAGAAAGACAACCGUUGGAUCUACGUGACACACAAUUUUUUUUAAACGUAAACCGGAUUUAACGUCACGUGUAUCUUAAUCCUAACGGACUCCAAGUCUCCAACGCUGUACGUGCAGUUUGUUUUUUUAUUUUUAUUUUAUUUUAUUUUUGAAACAGACGCGGUACGUGCAGUUUGCAUCCAUACAUACCCGUCCAUGCCCUGAACCCAUCCACCGGUCACGUCCAUGCGCUGAACCCAUCCAUCGGUGAGAGCUCAGGAGAAUCGCCGGGCGAGUCAAGGCAUGUGCAUGCAUGCUUCAUCGAUCAAUUCACUGCUCAGCCUAUAUGCAACUACGGACAUGUAUUAUGAUGUAAAAAAAAAAUACUACGGGCAUUUGUCGAGAGCAAUUAAGUGCUUUCACUAACUACACUCACGAAUUGGGACUACGGGUUAUUUGGUGAAUUAGCAAAGCUCACUUUUCAAGUUUUCAUACGGCCAUGAAAUCUAAUUCUCCUUCCUAUUCAUAGAAACUUUCUUAAAUUUUGUACUAACUUGGUACAAAGUUGUACUAAAUCUGAAAUACUUAUUAUGAAUCAGACAGAGUAUUAGAAACUAAAAUCUAUAUAUAAUUACGUUUCAUAUCUAUUAUCUAUCUAUUACAUAACUAAAAUCAAUAUGAGGGUAUCGAGAGAAGGCUUCACACCGAUCCACGUCAUUUGAAUUUACGUUGGGUAUGUCCCGUGACGGAUCCACGUCCCACAUUUUUUUUUGACAAAAAACAGUGGGGAAGUCCCUCAUUUUAUAUAGAUUUAAUAUGGUAUGUACAAAGGUUAU